UCAGGAUGAACGCUAGCGGCAGGCUAACACAUGCAAGUCGAGGGGUAAGGUUCAGCUUGCUGAAUACACGACCGGCGCACGGGUGAGUAACACGUUUGCAACCUUCCUCUAACUGGAGAAUAGCCCGAAGAAAUUCGGAUUAAUACUCCAUAAAGUCAAUUUAAGGCAUCUUUUAUUGAUUAAAGCUCCGGCGGUUAGAGAUGGGCAUGCGUGUCAUUAGCUAGUUGGUGAGGUAACGGCUCACCAAGGCCACGAUGACUAGGGGGUCUGAGAGGAUGAUCCCCCACACUGGUACUGAGACACGGACCAGACUCCUACGGGAGGCAGCAGUGAGGAAUAUUGGGCAAUGGACGCAAGUCUGACCCAGCCAUGCCGCGUGCAGGAUGACUGCCCUAUGGGUUGUAAACUGCUUUUGUUUGGGAAGAAACCCCCGAUCGUGAUCGGGGCUGACGGUGCCAUACGAAUAAGCAUCGGCUAACUCCGUGCCAGCAGCCGCGGUAAUACGGAAGAUGCAAGCGUUAUCCGGAUUCAUUGGGUUUAAAGGGUGCGCAGGCGGAAUAUUAAGUCAGUGGUGAAAUCCUGCAGCUUAACUGUAGAACUGCCAUUGAUACUGAUAUUCUUGAAUAUAGUUGAGGUGGGCGGAAUGUGUAAUGUAGCGGUGAAAUGCUUAGAUAUUACACAGAACACCAAUUGCGAAGGCAGCUCACUAAACUAAUAUUGACGCUGAGGCACGAAAGCGUGGGUAGCAAACCAGGAUUAGAUACCCUGGUAGUCCACGCUGUAAACUAUGAUCACUCGCUGUUGGCAAUACAUCGUCAGCGGCUGAGCGAAAGCAUUAAGUGAUCCACCUGGGGAGUACGGUCGCAAGAUUGAAACUCAAAGGAAUUGACGGGGGCCCGCACAAGCGGAGGAACAUGUGGUUUAUUUCGAUGAUACGCGAAGGAACCCUUACCUGGGGCUUAAUGCAGAGCGACGUCCGCCGAAAGGUGGAAUUCCUUCGGGCGAUCUGCAAGGUGCUGCAUGGUUGUCGUCAGCUCGUGCCGUGAGUGUCGGGUUUAAGUCCCAUAACGAGCGCACUCUAUCGUUAGUUGCCCCACGGGUAAUGCCGGGGACU
rnacentral:rRNA from 1 species